rnacentral:rRNA from 1 species
AGUGAACGCUGGCGGCAGGCCUAACACAUGCAAGUCGAGCGGCAGCGCGGGGGCAACCCUGGAGGCGAGCGGCGGACGGGUGAGGAAUUCGUCGGAAUCUGCCUUUUUGUGGGGGAUAACGUAGGGAAACUUACGCUAAUACCGCAUACGUCCUCCGGGAGAAAGUGGGGGACCGCAAGGCCUCACGCAGAAAGAUGAGCCGACGACCGAUUAGCUAGUUGGUGGGGUAAAGGCCCACCAAGGCGACGAUCGGUAGCUGGUCUGAGAGGAUGAUCAGCCACACUGGGACUGAGACACGGCCCAGACUCCUACGGGAGGCAGCAGUGGGGAAUAUUGGACAAUGGGCGCAAGCCUGAUCCAGCCAUGCCGCGUGUGUGAAGAAGGCCUUCGGGUUGUAAAGCACUUUUGUCCGGAAAGAAAUCCCUGGAGCUAAUACCUUCGGGGGAUGACGGUACCGGAAGAAUAAGCACCGGCUAACUUCGUG